ACGAACGCUGGCGGCGUGCUUAACCCAUGCAAGUCGCACGGAAAGGCCCUGCUUUUGUGGGGUGCUCGAGUGGCGAACGGGUGAGUAACACGUGAGUAACCUGCCCUUGACUUUGGGAUAACUUCAGGAAACUGGGGCUAAUACCGGAUAGGAGCUCCUGCUGCAUGGUGGGGGUUGGAAAGUUUCGGCGGUUGGGGAUGGACUCGCGGCUUAUCAGCUUGUUGGUGGGGUAGUGGCUUACCAAGGCUUUUACGGGUAGCCGGCCUGAGAGGGUGACCGGCCACAUUGGGACUGAGAUACGGCCCAGACUCCUACGGGAGGCAGCAGUGGGGAAUAUUGCACAAUGGGCGGAAGCCUGAUGCAGCAACGCCGCGUGCGGGAUGACGGCCUUCGGGUUGUAAACCGCUUUCGCCUGUGACGAAGCGUGAGUGACGGUAAUGGGUAAAGAAGCACCGGCUAACUACGUG
rnacentral:rRNA from 1 species